rnacentral:rRNA from 1 species
UUGUAGUCUGCAACUCGACUACAUGAAGCUGGAAUCGCUAGUAAUCGUAGAUCAGCAUGCUACGGUGAAUACGUUCCCGGGUCUUGUACACACCGCCCGUCACACCACGAGAGUUUGUAACACCCGAAGCCGGUGGAGUAACCUUUUGGAGCUAGCCGUCGAAGGUGGGACAAAUGAUUGGGGUGAAGUCGUAACAAGGUAGCCGUAUCGGAAGGUGCGGCUGGAUCACCUCCUUUCUAAGGA